rnacentral:rRNA from 1 species
GCCAGACUCCUACGGGAGGCAGCAGUGAGGAAUAUUGGUCAAUGGGCGGGAGCCUGAACCAGCCAAGUCGCGUGAGGGACGACGGUCCUAUGGAUUGUAAACCUCUUUUGUCGGGGAACAAAGGCGUCCACGGGUGAGCGGAUGAGUGUACCCGAAGAAAAAGCAUCGGCUAACUCCGUGCCAGCAGCCGCGGUAAUACGGAGGAUGCGAGCGUUAUCCGGAUUUAUUGGGUUUAAAGGGUGCGUAGGCGGACAGUCAAGUCAGCGGUAAAAAUGCGGUGCUCAACGCCGUACAGCCGUUGAAGCUGGCGGUCUUGAGUGGGCGAGAAGUAUGCGGAAUGCGUGGUGUAGCGGUGAAAUGCAUAGAUAUCACGCAGAACUCCGAUUGCGAAGGCAGCAUACCGGCUCCACACUGACGGUGAGGCACGAAAGCGUGGGUAUCGAACAGGAUUAGAUACCCGGGUAAC